UACGAAGGGGGCUAGCGUUGCUCUGAAUCACUGGGCGUAAAGCGCACGUAGGCGGAUUGCUAAGUCAGGGGUGAAAUCCUGGAGCUCAACUCCAGAACUGCCCUUGAUACUGGCGGUCUCGAGUCCGGGAGAGGUGAGUGGAACUGCGAGUGUAGAGGUGAAAUUCGUAGAUAUUCGCAAGAACACCAGUGGCGAAGGCGGCCCGCUGGACAUGUAUUGACGCUGAGGUGCGAAAGCGUGGGGAGCAAACAGG
rnacentral:rRNA from 1 species